GUUCACCUGGCCCAGCCCAACAACCUUAACAUUGAGGGGAAGGCCAAGGAGUUGUUCCGCAAACUCAGAGAGAAACCCAGAGAUCUCCCUCCCUCCAUCGCUCCCUCCAGACCAGAGGUAUAGGGGGAGGGGGGGGGGGGCAUUCAGAAG